rnacentral:rRNA from 1 species
AUGAAAAAAUGCGGUGCUCCAAACAAGAUUGACUUCCUCUCUCUUUCUUAUACAAGGCAUGCAGAAGAUGUGUGGCAAGCACGGGAGUUCCUCUCAAAGUUAGCUGAUCUUAGCCAAACUCCGAUUUUAGCCAAAAUUAACAUGUAUUUUUCUCAAUUGAGUACUACUUUGUUUUGUUCUUUAGGUGUUCUUAUUUCAACUGAUGUGGCAAAUGCGGUGCUGGACAGUAGUGAUGACAUUCUCCUUGGUGCUGAGACUUGCCGUGGGUUGUAUCCAGUUGAGACUAUUUCAACAGUAGGCAGAAUUUGUGCUGAGGCUGAGAAGGUCUUCAACCAGGAUUUGUACUUCAAGCGAACCAUGAAAUACGUGGGAGAACCCAUGACCCAAUUGGAGUCUAUUGCUUCGUCUACAGUGCGUGCGGCUGCUAUCAAAGUUAAGGCUUCGGUCAUCAUUUGCUUGACCUCAUCUGGGAGGGCUGCAAGGCUAAUUGCCAAGUACAGGCCCACCAUGCCAUUCCUCGUCUGA